ACGGGAGGCAGCAGUGGGGAAUAUUGGGCAAUGGGGGGAACCCUGACCCAGCAACGCCGCGUGGAGGAAGAAGGUCUUCGGAUCGUAAACUCCUGUCCUCAAAGACGAGAAGAAGACGGUAUUUGAGGAGGAAGCCCCGGCUAACUACGUGCCAGCAGCCGCGGUAAUACGUAGGGGGCAAGCGUUAUCCGGAUUUACUGGGUGUAAAGGGAGCGUAGACGGCGAGACAAGUCUGAAGUGAAAGCCCGGGGCUCAACUCCGGGACUGCUUUGGAAACUGUUUUGCUAGAGUGCAGGAGAGGUAAGUGGAAUUCCUAGUGUAGCGGUGUAAUGCGUAGAUAUUAGGAGGAACACCAGUGGCGAAGGCGGCUUACUGGACUGUAACUGACGUUGAGGCUCGAAAGCGUGGGGAGCAAACAGGAUUAGAUACCCUGGUA
rnacentral:rRNA from 1 species